rnacentral:rRNA from 1 species
UACGGAGGGAGCUAGCGUUGUUCGGAAUUACUGGGCGUAAAGCGCGCGUAGGCGGCUUUGUAAGUUAGAGGUGAAAGCCCGGGGCUCAACCCCGGAAUUGCCUUUAAGACUGCGUCGCUUGAAUCCGGGAGAGGUGAGUGGAAUUCCGAGUGUAGAGGUGAAAUUCGUAGAUAUUCGGAAGAACACCAGUGGCGAAGGCGGCUCACUGGACCGGCAUUGACGCUGAGGUGCGAAAGCGUGGGGAGCAAACAGG